UGCGUGUGAAGGUGCAUUGCAGGGCAACUCCUCCGUUGGCAGAGGGACGACGGAUGGAUGUGGCCGGGGUUCUCCCUUGAAUCCUUGGUCCUGUCCGUCUGCCAAAGGAGAUUUGCCCGGCGAUUCACCACCCACUUCGACU
rnacentral:pre_miRNA from 1 species